UGUUAAUGUGUGUGUGAGAGAGUGAGAGAGAGAUGAAUAAGUCAACUUUGAAUAGCUGGAAGAAAGCUACAAAUCCUCACUACUGUUGAGAUCUCUCUCUAUAUAUGGUGAUACUGUUACAAACGGAAAAGAUGCAUAGUUCCUCUCUAUUUCUUCUCCUCUCCUCUAUCUUAAUUAGGGUUGAGGCCGCAGGGUCAUUUUGGAGCCAUAAAAAUAACUUUUCACCAAAAGUUUGAGUCUUGUUGCACCCUUUGUUCGAUGAGUUCUUGUGUUCAUGUUGGUUUGAGAGAUUGAAGCUGCCAGCAUGAUCUGGAAGUGCCAAACCGUGUCUCCUUUUUGUGCUUGUGCUAUAUAUAUAGAUAAUUUAUAGGCUAGAUAUAUAUAUGUUCAGUUGUCUUUUUGUGGGUUUUUAGUGUUGUGUUAAUAUACAUGUGUUUAGGGGUAGGGUAAGGGGAGGAUAAUUACCAGGUCAUCCUUGCAGCUUCAAUCACUCAUGCCCAACAAUUUUUCAUACAGAGGAAACAUGAAGAAUUUCCUUCAACACUGUGUUGUCUUUUUCAUGUUCUUGUUAAUUAGCAGUGGCCAAUUACAAAUCUACACAAGUAAGUACUACUUGAUUGUUUCUCUUUUACUUUUCUUUUUCAUCUAUCAUUGUUCAAUUUUCUUAUUAUUUUCCCCAACUAACUUUUUAAUUUCAUCUCAAUUUAACUUAAUUAUUUGCAUUUAAUAAUUAGUUUGAAGCAUCUCUUUUAACUUUAGUUUGGUUAAAAACUCAUGCUUUUUGUUUUUGCUUCUCAUGCGGAUCAUAUUUUAUCAUUGUUGUGCCUACUUUUCUUUAGUUUUUUGGCUUCAAAACUUGAUAUGUAUUAAUUAAAUGCUUGUGUAUGUCAAGGUUCAUUGCAUCACCUUUUUUCUGCCAAGUUAAUAAGAAAAGUAUCCUGAAAGAAAUGUCACAAUUAUUGAGAUCUAUGUUUUAUUUUGAUAACACGAAACAAAUUAAUUGCCAAUGUUUUGUCAACAUCGUGGAGCUAGAGGGUAGAGAUGCAUAAAAGGCUUGACAGCUAAUAAGGUUUUUGUACACAUUAGAUGUACAUGCGUAAAAACCGCUACAACAUGUGUGACGGCAUAUUGAUUAAAUUUACAUCUGAAGAUCAUGACCAAUUAGGUAUGUCAAAUAGAAAUAUAACUUACAGUAAAUUGAGUUGUGUUUCAGUGUAUGUAAUAAAGUAAAAAAGGGACAUGAGCUGAACUUGAAAAAGUAUAUAUAGCUGCAGUCAUUAAUGACUAGCAUGUGUUACAUUAACCUUUCAUUGUCGUAGUACUUCCUCAAAAACAAGUAAAACUACUAACCUUUCUGAAAAUAGUAGAUUCAACCUUUGUUUUUUGGACACUUCAUUGUCUACUUCUUUCUUUGAUGUAUAUGAGCAGUAACACUCAACAAGCAGACUUGGAAAUGUGGUUAAUGGCUCAUUAUAUAUGUAGAAGGUAACGUCAUCUCACUUAAUUAAUAUAAGAGUUUCUAGAUACUUGACACGAUGAAGUGGAGAAUGUAUGGACAUCUGAUUGAGAAAACCAAAUACGUAGCAUGUCCAUCAAAACAAUAGUAGUUCAGCAUCAUCAAAGACUCGUUAUAUAACCAAAAACUUCAAGGACUCAUUAUUAUAUGAAUAACAAUGGAGAGCACUAAUGAACAGAUUCAAGUUGAGAGAAUCAACACCAACAUACACACACAACGUGUAUUUUAUAUAUAUAUAUAUA
rnacentral:lncRNA from 1 species